AACGCCUGUGAGUUACCUUGCAUGCGUUUAAGACGUUUUUUCAUUAUUUCUGUUUCAGAAAUCUAAAUACAGAAUGAAGUGGAUACCGGUUUCAGAACAGGAGCUCAGAUCCUACGACGACCCUCCUCACGGAUUGUCUGACGUCACAAAAGACCUUUGGGAGUUAAGUCCAAAAGUUCGGAGUAUUGUCAGAGACCGAAUAACUUAUAAAAAAGGAAUCAAGGAUCUCUUUUUCUGCCUUUACGAGAUAGAGAGUGGAGACAUAUGUACUUUUGAAGAAAGCUAUGAGGGAAUUAUAAGUCAUCUGAACGAAUACAAGGCUCAUCGGAUUAAUAAAGAAACAAGAAACAGUAUUCGUAGUGAAGCAAAAAAUCGACGAAUUCGGCGUGCUAAACUGAAAAGUGAGAAAACCCCUUCCUCUCUGAAACGAGCUAAAAAUCCUUUGGCCAAAUCAGAUUAUGAUAUUUUUAUUACAGCAGCAAACAAAGCAAGAUCGGGUGAAAUGGAUCGUAGACCUACUAUGAGAGAUAAUGAACAAGAAGAGAUGCAAAGGAAGAAUGAAGAGAAUUUACGAAAAAAGAGGCGUGAAGAAGCACUAAUGGAAGAGAAAGGAAAAGAACGACGGGAUGAGCAAGAAAGACGACGGGAUGAGCAAGAAAGACGGGAUGAGCAAGAAAGACGACGGGAUGAGCAAGAAAGACGACGGGAUGAGCCAAAAAGACGGGAUGAGCAAGAAAGACGUCGGGAUGAGCAAGAAAGACGGGAUGAGCAUGAAAGACGACGGGAUGAGCAAGAUAGAAGAUGGGAUGAGCAGGAAAGACGGGACAAGAAAGGAAAAAGCCGUAAUAUGGAAGAAAAACGACAGGAAGAUUAUCGCCGAAAAGAAGACGAAGGACGCGAAAGAAAUCGUGAUUAUCGAUCCAAGAGUGGAGAACACAGGUUUCCGGAGUUGCGCUCCCGGGAUAAACCAUAUGGUCAUGGGAUAAAUAGAUAUAGCUCUAGGACUGCCUGGAGCCCACCUAAGCAGCAAACUUAUAUCUGCAAAGACUGUGACGAAAGUUUUACAGACCAGCACAAGUACAGUGACCACAGGCACAACAGCGAAUACUCAGGAAAUUGUUCAGUAUCGUCGGAGAGGACGAUUAGGGUCGGGGGUCUAGACUUUUCCAGGCAACCAAGGGGAUCCAGAGGAAACUCAGCAGUCUUCACCUCUAUGGGAGCUAGAGGUUCAAGGCAAGAUGAUUUAGAACCAUCUGAACCCAACAGACUGCCCUCACCUUCGGAGGCUAGUAGAUUCAGUAGAUAUGCAGAACCUAGGGGAUAUGGUAGAUCAUCAGAUGCUGUAGAAACCACAGGAAAUAAUAGAUCAUCAAUAUCUGCGGAACCUAGAGGAAAUUUUGGAUCAUCAAUUACUGUAGAGCAAAAGGGAGAUAGUAGUAGAUCAACAUCUGUUGAAGAAAGCGGAAGUAGAAGAUCAUCAAUUUGUGUAGAACCUAGGCAAAAAAGUAGGUUAUCAACUACCAGGGAACGAAGAGGCUCGCCUGCUUCUAGUGAAAGGUUUAUAAGACCGUCAAAUACAGAGAUUGUUGACAUGGAGGUAGAUUCUCCAGAGUGUAUAUCUUUAUCACCUGAAUAUUCUCCAGUAUCCACUGAAUGUACUCCAGUAUCCCCUGAAUAUACUCCAGUAUCCACUGAAUGUACUCCAGUAUCCCCUGAAUAUUCUCCAGUAUCGCCUGAAUAUACUCCAGUAUCCCUUGAAUAUUCUCCAGUAUCGCCUGAAUAUACUCCAGUAUCCCUAGAAUGUUCUCCAGUAUUACCCGUCUCUGCUCAUUCUGUCUCCGUUAUGGCCAGUCCUAUAAAGCCUGCCUCUGGAACCAAGGUUGGGAUUGUAAAACUUCGUCCUCUUGUUGAUCUUCUGGAAAGUCCCAAUCAAAACUCCAAUCCUCAGCAACCAGUACUAGAACAGGAAAAAGUUUGGGAUGUUCUACAGUGCCUUAAACUAAAUGAAAAUCAGGCAUAUGACGAUAUAGCUGAGGCGGAAGAGAACACAUAUGCAGCUGGUUCUUCUCAGAACUCAUCCGUUAGUUUGGAAAAUCGUUUGGAAUUAAUGGGAGAAAGUCUGCUUUCUUAUUUAGCUAAAGAUAUUGCUCCACAUGAUCCUGUUUUGACGAGAACAGAGUCUCAAAUUGUAAGUCCUGCUAAAUCUUAUGAUAAAAUUAGUUCUUUAAGUACAGUUGGUCCGGUAACAGUGAGCCAGGCUCCUCAAAUAAACUCGGCUAAUCCCAGUUCUUCCUCCGGAUCAUCAACAGCGUCUAGGUCAUCUAACGAAGGUGGCUUUUUAUUAACUUUGCCUUCGAGUCUUACGUUUACUCCACCUAAACCUGCUCAACCUGCGCUAAUGCCGCUGAAGAAGAAGACCUUCUCCGAUUCAUUCCCGAAUUAUGUUCCCGCAGAGCAGGAGAAGAACAAGGAGAAAGAGAAAUCUUCUACCAACAAGGAAACCGAACCUGCAGAACAAGAUGAAUUGGAGUUGUAUCUGGAUAAGAAGAGGAAGGGAUUCCAGGCUAUUGACAAAAUCAAGAGCUCUGUAGACCCUCAAACAUUAAACAGGAUUGGACAGCUAGACGCGGAGAAGAGAAAGGAUUUGAAUGUGAUCAAGGGUGGGGAGGAGAUUAAAAAAACUACAUUAAAACCACUGCAUGGUUCAUCCAAAAAUCCAUUGAUUUCUCCCAAAACUCAUUCUGUCCCCUCCAAAACUCCUGUAGCCCCUUCUAAAACUAAUGCUAUCCCCUGCCAGACUCCUGCCGUCACAUCCAAAACUGUCACAGACCCAGUCGCCUCAAAAACUGUUCCAGUACACUCAAAAACUGUUCCAGUUAACUCAAAAACUGUCCCAGUUCCCUCUAAAACGGUUCUAGUCCCCUCUAAAGCUGUUUCAGUCCACUCCAAAACUGAUGCAGUAACCUCUAAAACUCCUGCCGCCCCCUCUAGAACUUCUACCGUCCUUUCUCUAACUCCUGCCGGCCCCUCUAGAACUGCUCAAAUCCCUUCUCUAACUCCUGCCGGCCCCUCGAGAACUGCUCAAAUUCCUUCUCUAACUCCUGCCGGCCCCUCUAUAACUGCUCAAAUCCCUUCUCUAACUCCUGCAGUUCGUCCGAGUAUGUCUGCUUUUAGUGAGGAGCAGAGGAAGAGGAUUCAGGAGAAUGUGAGAUUAAAGAAAGCAGAGAAAGAGGCCAAGUUCAAAGCUAAGGAAGAGAAAGCUAAGAAGGAGAAAGAAAAAGAAAGACUGAAGCGAAAAUAUCAAGAAGAACUUAAAGCUAGGGAAAUUGAAAUGCUUAAACAGGCGGAAGAAAAAAAGGAAACUGAAAGGAAAAUGGAAAAAGAAAAGAAGGAGAAAGAGAAAAGCAGGGAAAAGCAAGAAUUAAAACAUGACUCAAGGAAAAAUUUGAAAAAAGAAAGACAAGUGGAAAAAAGUCUGAAAAACACAAAGAAUCUUGACAGGAGAAGGGACAAAGAUUCAGAAAAUGAAAAACUAAGAAGCAUAGCUAAAAAAGUAAACGAACAAAAUUUACAAACGCCAGGAGAACUGGAUAAAGGAAAUGGGCUCAAUGAUGAAAAGAGUUUAAUUAAAAAAUCCCAUGCAGAAAUCUUAAGAGAUUUACGUAAAGAGAAAACCAAAAUUGAAGAAGAAUCAAAGAGAUUGCUGACUAACAAAUCGGAGACCUCUGUGGACGAUUUACCAAUUGAAAUUAAAAGCAAGAACUUGAAACCUACGGAGUUAAAACAUACUAAAGUGUCUUCUCUCGAACCUGAGAAAGAGACUCCCAUGGAUGUUCUACCUCCUGAAACUGCUCAUAAAAACUCGGAAAAUAUUCAGAAAACAUCAUGUAAUGAAAUGGAAGAAAAUUCAAGCAAUCACAAGACCCUGAAUUCUACACAAGACAAUUCUGCCUGUGAAUCUAGCCUUAAUGUUCAGCACAAUCCUAAAUCUUUUAAGGGUCUUCUAGAACAGGAAACAAGUACUUUUCUGGAAUCAAGUAAGCUACCUAAUCAAGAAGCUAGUACUAAACCUGUACUAGAACACAGCAAAAACCCUAACCUCGAUACUAGAACUAAACCUAUUCCGGAACCUAGUAAGAAACAAAGUAGUGAUCAAUCUUUUCCUGAGCCUAUUAGGAAGCCAGAACUUGGAACUAUUGCUAAACCAGAACCCAUUAAAAACCCUAACCUCGAUACUAGAACUAAACCUAAUCCGGAACCUAGUAAGAAACAAAGUAGUGAUCAAUCUUUACCUGAACCUAUUAGGAAGCCAGAACUUGGAACUAUUGCUAAACCUGUACUAGAACCCAGCAAAAACCCUAACCUCGAUACUAGAACUAAACCUAAUCCGGAACCUAGUAAGAAACAAAGUAGUGAUCAAUCUUUACCUGAACCUAUUAGGAAGCCAGAACUUGGAACUAUUGCUAAACCUGUACUAGAACCCAGCAAAAACCCUAACCUCGAUACUAGAACUAAACCUAAUCUGGAACCUAGUAAAAAACAAAGUAGUGAUCAAUCUUUUUCUGAGCCUAUUAGGAAGCCAGAACUACUAUGUAAUGCUAAAUCUGCUCCGGAAGCUAGUAAGAAGCCUGGACGUAAAACUAGUACUAAGCCUGUACCGGAGCCUACUAAAGUACCUGAACCUUUACAGAAACCUGUAUCUGCAAAUAAACUGCAGCCUGUACCUGUCACCAAACAGACUGGGGAUAUGGUUGACUCUGUUCCUAAUUAUAAACGUAAGCAACUAGAAAGCACGGAAAGGGGAUCAAAACUUCAAAAACGUCAAUCCUCUAAGGUCGAACUGUCUGAUCUGGACCGGUUAAGGAAUAUACUGUAUCGAGAAAGCUCCGAUUCCGAUGAUUCCGAUUCCGACACCGUGAAACAAAUAUUAGUAUCAAGAAAGAAUUACUCAUCUACAGAUAAGACUCAUUCGAGUAGUCAUGAAGCACACAUAGAUAAGAAACCCCGUAUAUCCUCAGAACCUUUAAACAGUUCUUGUCAGUCACUUGAUAAAAAAUCAGUCAAACUCGAUGCAAGUAAAUCUAAUGUGGAUGAUUCUACUGUGGGAGAUGUUUAUCCUAUACAUGAGAAUAUCCAGGUAGACGAUGAAUCUCCAGAUCCUGAACCUUUACCUAUCGAGAUAUUAUCCGUGAGAUCGUUAUACAAAGAUCCUGAGAGACUGAGCAAGUUCAUGGAAACUCUUCCGAACCCUGCGUACACGAUAUAUCAUCCUAAACCUGGAGAGAUCAUUGAACUAAACGAUGACGGAUCUUCUGGAGAUGAAAUGUAUGAUUUAGGAGACAAUAUUCCUUACAGACUACAGUAUACCCGGGCAGUAGAAGUCUCACGAGUUGAGAAACUGAGACAUGAAACCUCAUUUAUUCAUCUAGUGGAAGGGGAAGACGACAUUACAAAAUGUCUGCACUGUCCGCGGUUCCUUAACGAUUCUGAAAGCACGUUCAGGAUUAAUGUAGUGGACAACUCGGCUGUUGUGUACUGCUGCUGUGGUAAAAAUUACAAGAUUUACAACCUGAUAAAACUACCUGGAAGAUACCAGGGAUAUCAAGCACAUUCCUUCACUCGGUCUGGAUCUGCUCACAGCUUCCAUACAAAAAAUCAAUCCUCUACUUCUUCCACUGGCUCUGCCUAAUCUCAGCAUCAAUUAGAUUGCGUCGUUAAACUGUACGCUCGUGGCUCAAACUGAUCCAAAUUCAUGUAAUUUAAGAGAAAAGGCAAUAUUUGUCUGCAUAGUACCUGAAUAUUCUACAAGAAAAGCGAAUAUAUAGAGAAGGGAAAUGGCGUUGGAUCUGCAGUUCGUUUCCGAAGGAUUCAUCAAGUUUCUAAAGAACUCCAACCAGCCAAUGGAGAAACUGACUCAGAGAAACCUAGAGAACCUUUAUAACCUUAUCUUCAAGAUGGAGUUUGAGAGAAAUCAAAAUACAAAUCUUGGAGAGUUAAAGUUUCCAGAGCUUUCCAGGCAUAUGGAGGAGAAUGGUAUGCUGAAGUUUAACGGCGAAACCGCGGUGUUUAGCCUAUAGUAGUCGGAGAAGUUCUUCCUUUUAAAUCAUUAGUUACACAUAUUUUUACAACAUAUUUGCUUAAAACUGAACUACUUUAUCUUAUAAGAAACUCCUGUGAUUAUAAAGAACACAUUUCAUGCAUUUAUACAACAGAAAUUUAAUUUCUCGAAUUUUAGAAAUUUAAAUGAUUUUAUACUUCCAGAGUUUGAUGAUUGAUCUAGAUGAAAUGUCUAAAUUUGAUUCUUUUAGCUGACGAGAGCUAUAUUAUUCAGCAUGAAAGAAACUGACUUUGCAAUCUUCUUAGCAAGGAGUCCAAUGGUUCUAGAAAUUUUAUAUGUGUAUCCAUUAAGAAAUGACAAUCAAAAUUUUUAAGUUUUUGCAUUUAAAAGAUGUAGUUUGGUGUUUUUUGGGCUAAAUUAAAUGUCGAGUGCUAAAUAAGAGUUUGUUUAUUAUGUAUAUUGGACAUUGGACUAAGCUUUUAUUGUUUUAUUAAUAUUUUACUAAGAUUUAAAAUUCCUUCAAAGGAAUUCAGUCUUUCCUACAAUCUCAAAUAUUGGAAUCCAUAUGUAUUUGCUACCGGCUAGGAUGAAGCUUUGAUAUUUCAAAUUAGAUUAUGGAAUCCGAAAGAGAUAAUAGUUUGAAAUAGCUAAGGUCUACGACAAUGGGUACCAAAGAUUUGUGGCAAAGACUCAAUUCCUUUAGAAAAAAAUCGAUAUUAAAGUAUAUUUUAGUGAUUAAGAGUUUAUGUGCCUUGUCAGACUUUAUUUUUAAUCAAUUUUGAUUUUAUAAUAUUUUUGACAAUUAAUAAUUAACCUUUAUAUUUAUAAUAUCUGUGACAAUUAAAAAUUAACGUUUAUAUUUGUUAACUGUUCUAACCAGGAAUAAACUACACAGAAUA
rnacentral:misc_RNA from 1 species